rnacentral:sRNA from 1 species
CCAACGGAGAUGGUGCAAUAACCACGGA